UUGGAGGGCAAGUCUGGUGCCAGCAGCCGCGGUAAUUCCAGCUCCAAUAGCGUAUAUUAAAGUUGUUGCAGUUAAAAAGCUCGUAGUUGAAUUUCGGGAUUGACAUAUCGGUCGUGCCUUAAGGGGUAUGAACUGGUGUAGUCAGUUUCUCACCUUCUGGAGAACCGCGAUGUCCUUAAUUGGGUGCCGCUAGGAACCAGGACCUUUACUUUGAAAAAAUUAGAGUGUUUAAAGCAGGCAUUUUGCUUGAAUACAUUAGCAUGGAAUAAUAAAAUAGGACGGAUGGUUCUAUUUUGUUGGUUUCUAGGAUCACCGUAAUGAUUAAUAGGGAUAGUUGGGGGCAUUAGUAUUCAAUUGUCAGAGGUGAAAUUCUUGGAUUUAUUGAAGACUAACUACUGCGAAAGCAUUUGCCAAGGAUGUUUUCAUUAAUCAAGAACGAAAGUUAGGGGAUCGAAGACGAUCAGAUACCGUCGUAGUCUUAACCAUAAACUAUGCCGACUAGGAAUCAGACGAUGUUAAUUUUUUAAUGACUCUUUGGGGGGGGACGGGA
rnacentral:rRNA from 2 species